AGCCGCUUUUCCAUGCCAUUGCAUUGCAGCGGUACAUACUUUUAUGCACACAGUUAGUAUUGGCAUUAGAGGCAGGCGUCAAAUUGUUGGACAUAUCCAAUUGCUAGAUACUUAUAGUUGUCUGUGAGAACAGAAAGGAAUUGCAAUAUGGAGGACUGGGG